GAUGAACGCUGGCGGCGUGCCUAAUACAUGCAAGUCGAACGAAGGUAGCAAUACCUUAGUGGCGAACGGGUGAGUAACACGUAGGUAACCUGCCUUUCAGUUGGGGAUAACCGAGGGAAACUUUGGCUAAUACCGAAUUCGUGCUUCGAAGGCAUCUUCGGAGCAUAAAAGGGGCCUUUAAAGCCUCGCUGAUUGAUGGACCUGCGGCGCAUUAGUUAGUUGGUGAGAUAACAGCCCACCAAGACGAGGAUGCGUAGCCGACCUGAGAGGGUGAUCGGCCACACUGGAACUGAGACACGGUCCAGACUCCUACGGGAGGCAGCAGUAGGGAGUUUUCGGCAAUGGGGGAAACCCUGACCGAGCAACGCCGCGUGAGUGAUGAAGGUCUUCGGAUUGUAAAGCUCUGUUAUAAGGGAAGAACGGCAGCUAGAGGAAAUGCUAGCUGUUUGACGGUACUUUAUGAGAAAGCCAGGCUAACUACGUGCCAGCAGCCGCGGUAAACAUACUACG
rnacentral:rRNA from 1 species